rnacentral:rRNA from 1 species
GUGCCAGCCGCCGCGGUAAAACGUAGGACGCAAGCGUUAUCCGGAGUUACUGGGCGUAAAGGGCAGGCAGGCGGGUCGAUAAGUCGGAUGUGAAAUCUCCCUGGCUUAACCGGGAGAGUGCAUUUGAGACUGUCAACCUGGAGGGCAGCAGAGGAGCGUGGAAUUCCGGGUGGAGUGGUGAAAUGCGUAGAGAUCCGGAGGAACACCAGAGGCGAAAGCGGCGCUCUGGGCUGCACCUGACGCUGAACUGCGAAAGCCAGGGGAGCGAACGGGAUUAGAAACCCCGGUAGUCCUGGCCGUAAACGAUGCCAACUGGGCGUUGGGGCGAACAGCCUCAGCGCCGGAGCGAACGCGGUAAGUUGGCCGCCUGGGGAGUACGACCGCAAGGUUAAA